GUGAAUCAUCAAAUUUUUGAACGCAAAUUGCACUCUCCGGUUUUCCGGGAGAGUAUGCCUGUUUGAGGGUCAGCAUAAAAAAAAUCGACAUUGUUUCUGCUUUAUGGUGACUUUGGCCGGAGUUGGGUUAUCUUAAAUCUCGGUUUAAGCGACUUAAAAAUUGUUUUUAUGAUUCUAUGAAUGAUUCUAAGAUUUUUUUUGUUCGUUUAAGGUAUCG
rnacentral:misc_RNA from 1 species